rnacentral:rRNA from 1 species
UACGGAGGAUGCGAGCGUUAUCCGGAUUUAUUGGGUUUAAAGGGUGCGUAGGCGGGUUAAUAAGUCAGUGGUGAAAACCUACAGCUUAACUGUAGACUUGCCGUUGAUACUGUUAGUCUUGAGUGUGGUCAAGGUAGGCGGAAUGUGUAAUGUAGCGGUGAAAUGCUUAGAUAUUACACAGAACACCGAUUGCGAAGGCAGCUUACUGGGCCAUUACUGACGCUGAUGCACGAAAGCGUGGGGAUCAAAC